rnacentral:rRNA from 1 species
CCUACGGGAGGCAGCAGUGAGGAAUAUUGGUCAAUGGACGAAAGUCUGAACCAGCCAUGCCGCGUGCAGGAAGACGGCUCUAUGAGUUGUAAACUGCUUUUGUACAAGGGUAAACCUGAAUACGUGUAUUCAGCUGAAAGUAUUGUACGAAUAAGGAUCGGCUAACUCCGUGCAAGCAGCCGCGGUAAUACGGAGGAUCCAAGCGUUAUCCGGAUUUAUUGGGUUUAAAGUGUGCGUAGGCGGCUUGAUAAGUUAGAGGUGAAAUGUGCGGGCUCAACUCGGGAACUGCCUCUGAUACUGUUGUUCUAGAGAGUAGAUGAGGUAGGCGGAAUGUAUGGUGUAGCGGUGAAAUGCUUAGAGAUCAUACAGAACACCGAUUGCGAAGGCAGCUUACCAAUCUAUAUCUGACGUUGAGGCACGAAAGCGUGGGGAGCAAACAGGAUUAGAUACCCCUGUAGUC